GUGUUUGCUUUGGCAACACAUAUAUUAAAAUUGGAACAAUACAGAGGUUAGCAUGCCCCCUGCACAAAGAUCACAUGCAAAUUCAUGAAGUACUCCAUAUUUUU
ensembl:snRNA U6 U6 spliceosomal RNA